rnacentral:rRNA from 1 species
GGGCCNNCACAAGCGGUGGAGCAUGUGUUUAAUUCGAAGCAACGCGCAGAACUUACCAGCGUUUGACAUCCUGACCGCGGAUAGUGGAGACACUUUCCUUCAGUUCGGCUGGAUCAGUGACAGGUGCUGCAUGGCUGUCGUCAGCUCGUGUCGUGAGAUGUUGGGUUAAGUCCCGCAACGAGCGCAACCCUCGUCCUUAGUUGCCAUCAUUUAGUUGGGCACUCUAAGGAAACCGCCGGUGAUAAGCCGGAGGAAGGUGGGGAUGACGUCAAGUCCUCAUGGCCCUUACGCGCUGGGCUACACACGUGCUACAAUGGCGACUACAGUGGGCAGCCACCUUGCAAGAGGGAGCUAAUCUCCAAAAGUCGUCUCAGUUCGGAUUGUUCUCUGCAACUCGAGAGCAUGAAGGCGGAAUCGCUAGUAAUCGCGGAUCAGCAUGCCGCGGUGAAUACGUUCCCAGGCCUUGUACACACCGCCCGUCACACCAUGGGAGUUGGUUUCACCCGAAGGCCGUGCGCUAACCGCAAGGAGGCAGCGGACCACGGUGGGAUCAGCGACUGGGGUGGAGUCGUAACAAGGUAGCCGUAAG